GACGAACGCUGGCGGCGUGCUUAAUACAUGCAAGUCGAACGGAAAGGCCCUGCGUUUGUGGGGUGCUCGAGUGGCGAACGGGUGAGUAACACGUGAGUAACCUGCCCUUGACUGUGUGAUAACUUCAGGAAACUGGGGCGAAUACCGGAUAGGAGCUCUUGCUGCAUGGGGGGGGUUGGAAAGUGUCGGCGGUUGGGGAUGGACUCGAGGCUUAUCAGCUGGUUGGUGGGGUAGUGGCUUACCAGGGCUUUGACGGGUAGCCGGCCUGAGAGGGUGACCGGCCACAUUGGGACUGCGAUACGGACCAGACUCCUACGGGAGGCAGCAGUGGGGAAUAUUACGGAAUGGCCGGGAGCGUGAUACGGCAACGCCGCGUGCGGGAUAACGGGCUUCGAGUUGUAAACAGAUGUCGCCGGUGAUGUAGCGGGAGUGACGGUAAUGGGUAAAGAAGCCCCGGCUAACUACGUG
rnacentral:rRNA from 1 species